UACAGUAGACUACAGUAGAGUACAGUAGACUGCAGUAGACUACAUUAGAGUACAGUACAGUAGACUACAGUAGACAACAGUACAGUAGACUAGAGUACAGUAGACUACAGUACAGUAAACUGGAGUAGACUACAGUAGACUGGAGUAGACUACAGUAGACUGGAGUAGACUACAGUAGACUACAGUAAACUACAGUAAGCUACAGUAGACUACAGUAAGCUACAGUAGACUGGAGUAAACUACAGUAGAGUACAGUAAUGACCUGUGAAUAAUAGGUAAAGUAAUGGUGAACUUAAUUGCUUUUAUUUGGCCCUGUAGCUGAGGUGUAUCUACCUGUAGAUGAGGUGUAUCUACCUGUAGAUGAGGUGUAUCUACCUGUAGCUGAGGUGUAUCUACCUGUAGAUGAGGUCUAUCUACCUGUAGAUGAGGUGUAUCUACCUGUAGAUGAGGUGUAUCUACCUGUAGAUGAGGUGUAUCUACCUGUAGAUGAGGUCUAUCUACCUGUAGCUGAGGUCUAUCUACCUGUAGCUGAGGUGUAUCUACCUGUAGAUGAGGUGUAUCUACCUGUAGAUGAGGUCUAUCUACCUGUAGCUGAGGUGUAUCUACCUGUAGAUGAGGUGUAUCUACCUGUAGAUGAGGUGUAUCUACCUGUAGAUGAGGUCUAUCUACCUGUAGAUGAGGUGUAUCUACCUGUAGAUGAGGUGUAUCUACCUGUAGAUGAGGUGUAUCUACCUGUAGAUGAGGUCUAUCUACCUGUAGCUGAGGUGUAUCUACCUGUAGCUGAGGUCUAUCUACCUGUAGAUGAGGUGUAUCUGCCUGUAGAUGAGGUCUAUCUACCUGUAGAUGAGGUCUAUUUACCUGUAGCUGAGGUAUAUUUACCUGUAGCUUAGGUCUAUCUACCUUUAGGUGAGGUGUAUCUACCUGUAGAUGAGGUGUAUCUACCUGUAGAUGAGGUCUAUCUACCUGUAGAUGAGGUGUAUCUACCUGUAGAUGAGGUGUAUCUACCUGUAGAUGAGGUGUAUCUACCUGUAGAUGAAGUCUAUCUACCUGUAGAUGAGGUGUAUCUGCCUGUAGAUGAGGUCUAUCUACCUGUAGCUGAGGUGUACCUACCUGUAGCUGAGGUCUAUCUACCUGUAGAUGAGGUGUAUCUACCUGUAGAUGAGGUGUAUCUACCUGUAGAUGAGGUGUAUCUACCUGUAGAUGAGGUCUAUUUACCUGUAGCUGAGGUAUAUUUACCUGUAGCUUAGGUCUGUCUACCUGUAGAUGAGGUGUAUCUACCUGUAGAUGAGGUGUAUCUACCUGUAGAUGAGGUCUAUCUACCUGUAGAUGAGGUGUAUCUACCUGUAGAUGAGGUGUAUCUACCUGUACAUGAGGUCUAUCUACCUGUAGAUGAGGUGUAUCUACCUGUAGAUGAGGUGUAUCUACCUGUAGAUGAGGUGUAUCUACCUGUAACUGAGGUCUAUCUACCUGUAGCUGAGGUGUAUCUACCUGUAGAUGAGGUCUAUCUACCUGUAGAUGAGGUGUAUCUACCUGUAGAUGAGGUGUAUCUGCCUGUAGAUGAGGUCUAUCUACCUGUAGAUGAGGUGUAUCUGCCUGUAGAUGAGGUCUAUCUACCUGUAGAUGAGGUGUAUCUACCUGUAGAUGAGGUGUAUCUGCCUGUAGAUGAGGUGUAUCUACCUGUAGAUGAGGUGUAUCUACCUGUAGAUGAGGUGUAUCUGCCUGUAGAUGAGGUCUAACCAGGUCAGAUCAGACUGAACCAGGCUAACUGGACCACACCAGACUGCACAGUUCUGCUGGAGGAAAGCCUCUCUGCUGAGAGUGGUGGACAUAUGAAUGUGAAUACUGGGGGCAUCAUUAAAAAACGGCACCCUAUUCCAUAUAUAGUGCACUACUUUUGACCAGAGCCAUAUUCCCUAAGGGCCCUGGUCAAAUGUAGGGCACUAUAAAGGAAUAGGGUGCCGUUUAGGACACAGGCCCUGUCUGUUUGGCUGUCUGUCUGUCUGUUUGGCUCCUGUAACGAUGGUCUGUCUGUCUGUCUGUCUGUCUGUCUGUCUGUCUGUCUGUCUGUCUGUCUGUCUGUCUGUCUGUCUGUCUGUCUGUCUGUCUGUCUGUCUGUUUGGCUCCUGUAAGAUGGGCUGUCGAUAAUGGGAAUAACAGUGGAUCUACGUGUUAGCCCUGAUCUGACCUCUGACCCUGAUCUGACCUCUUUAACUAAAUUCAAACGCUUUCUGCUUUUGGCAACAGAAGAGGAGAGCUUAGUUUUGGUGUCCUCUUGGCCCUUCUGGGUUAGAUCACUCUGCUCUAUCCCUCUGUCUUGUCCUCUUUCCCUCUGUCCGUCUGUCCUUCUGCCCUGUCCCUCUGUCCCUCUGCCCUGUCCCUCUGUCCCUUUGUCCUGUCCUCUUUCCCUCUGCUCUGUCCUCUGCCCUGCCCUCUGGCCCUCUGCCCUCUGUCUCUCUGUCCCUCUGCUCUGUCCCUUUGUCCUUCUGCCCUGUCCUCUGUCCCUCUGCCCUGUCCCUCUGCCCUCUGUCCCUCUGCCCUCUGUCCCUCUGCCCUCUGUCCCUCUGCUCUGUCCCUUUGUCCUUCUGCCCUGUCCUUGAUACUGUCCCUCAGUCCUGUCCCAUAUCCCUGUCCCUCUGCACUGUCCUUGAUACUGUCCCUCUGCCCUGUCCUCUGCCCUGUCCUCUGUCCCUCAGCCCUGUCCCUCUGCCCUGUACUCUGUCCCUCUGCCCUGUACUCUGUCCCUCUGCCCUGUCCUCUGUCCCUCUGCCCUGUCCUCUGUCCCUCUGCCCUGUCCUCUCUCCCCCUGCCCUGUCCUCUCUCCCUCUGCCCUGACCCCUAUCCCUGUCCCUAUGCCCUGUCCCCUAUCCCUGUCCCUCUGCCCUGUCCCUCAUACUGUUCCUGUCCUCUCGUCCUGUCCUCUCCUGUUCUUUAGUUCCAACUCUCGAUCCCACACAGUUAGCAGAGUUAAAUGACUCCACUCUCUUUAGCUUGGUAGUUUUACAGAUCAGCCAUGCAUCCAUCUUGGAUAAAACCAAAAAAAGAGAGAUAAUAUUAUUUGUGUGUAAAGCGAUAUGUUAUUUACACCCGGCAUGAGAUAUGACACUGAGUUGUGCUUCAGUGGAAGUGCUGCGUCCUCACAGACCAGGAGAAGGCCCCAGUGUGGAUUCUUUCAUAGAACUAGACCUUCUAGACAUUCUAUAAGUUCUGUGGAUUUCAGGUCCAGGCCAGGUACUGUCUGUCUGUCUGUCUGUCUGUCUGUCUGUCUGUCUGUCUGUCUGUCUGUCUGUCUGUCUGUCUGUCUGUCUGUCUGUCUGUCUGUCUGUCUGUCUGUCUGUCUGUCUGUCUGUCUGUCUGUCUGUCUGUCUGUCUGUCUGUCUGGUGCUGCCGUGUUGUAGCCUUAACAUUCCAAGGAGGGUCAUGUGACCCCCUGAGUAGCAUUAUGGGUAAUUAUUAGCACUGUGUCACCCAACCUCAGCCGAAGUUAUCGCCAGGGGGAAAAGUAAAACAAAACAAACAUGAUUUAGUUUUCGUUUUUUUGCAACGGCAAGGCAAGAGAUGGUGUUACCUAACAUUUACUGUACCUUAAGCAAAACAACUGCAAACCCUUCCAAAAAAAAAAAAAGGUUUUGAAGUUUACAGUCUUAACAGAAACCAACUAUUCAGGUCUAUAUCUUAAAAUACUUUUUGGAAGAAGAAGAAAAAAAAACACAUGACUUAUUUUUGGUAAU